AGGGUUCAAUUCUGGCUCAGGAUGAACGCUGGCGGCGUGCCUAAUACAUGCAAGUCGAACGAGGUAGCAAUACCGAGUGGCGAACGGGUGAGUAACACGUAGGUAACCUGCCCUUAAGCUUGGGAUACCCGAGAGGAAACUUUGGACUAAUACCGGAUAACAACAGAGAAGGCAUCUUCUUUGCUUGAAAGGCCCCUUCAAGGGUCACUUAAGGAUGGACCUGCGGCGCAUUAGCUAGUUGGUGAGAUAACAGCCCACCAAGGCGAGGAUGCGUAGCCGAACUGAGAGGUUGAUCGGCCACAUUGGAACUGAGACACGGUCCAAACUCCUACGGGAGGCAGCAGUAAGGAGUUUUCGGCAAUGGGGGAAACCCUGACCGAGCAACGCCGCGUGAGCGAUGACGGUCCUUUGGAAUUGUAAAGCUCUGUUGUAAGCCAUGAAUUGAUAGCUUUAAGGAAAUGAAAGCUAUUUGACGACAGCUUACCAGAAAGCCACGGCUAACUACGUGCCAGCAGCCGC
rnacentral:rRNA from 1 species